CAGUCGCCACGGUAAUACGUAGGUCCCGAGCGUUGUCCGGAUUUAUUGGGCGUAAAGCGAGCGCAGGCGGUUAGAUAAGCCUGAAGUUAAAGGCUGUGGCUUAACCAUAGUACGCUUUGGAAACUGUUUAGCUUGAGUGCAAGAGGGGAGAGUGGAAUUCCAUGUGUAGCGGUGAAAUGCGUAGAUAUAUGGAGGAACACCGGUGGCGAAAGCGGCUCUCUGGCUUGUAACUGACGCUGAGGCUCGAAAGCGUGGGGAGCAAACAGGAUUAGAUACCCCAGUAGUCCCUGUCUCUUAUACC
rnacentral:rRNA from 1 species